AACGAACGCUGGCGGCAGGCUUAACACAUGCAAGUCGAGCGCCCCGCAAGGGGAGCGGCAGACGGGUGAGUAACGCGUGGGAAUCUAUCCAUCUCUACGGAAUAACGCAUGGAAACGUGUGCUAAUACCGUAUACGUCCUUCGGGAGAAAGAUUUAUCGGAGAUGGAUGAGCCCGCGUUGGAUUAGCUAGUUGGUGGGGUAAAGGUCUACCAAGGCGACGAUCCAUAGCUGGUCUGAGAGGAUGAUCAGCCACACUGGGACUGAGACACGGCCCAGACUCCUACGGGAGGCAGCAGUGGGGAAUAUUGGACAAUGGGCGCAAGCCUGAUCCAGCCAUGCCGCGUGAGUGAUGAAGGCCCUAGGGUUGUAAAGCUCUUUCACCGGUGAAGAUAAUGACGGUAACCGGAGAAGAAGCCCCGGCUAACUUCGUGCCAGCCGCCGCGGUAAUAC
rnacentral:rRNA from 1 species